rnacentral:rRNA from 1 species
AGNCNUUUGAGAGAGAGUUCAGAGUACGUGAACCGUAUAGAGUCAAACGGGUGGAUCCGCAUUGUCGGCCCGGGGAAUUCAGCUCGGACUGUCGGCGACUGCGGGGCGGUCAGGAUCCUCACGGACCGCGCCUCGCGCCUGCCAGGCAUGCGCCGGGUGCACUUUCUUCGGGUCGAAUGCCACGUCCGGUUCUGCGUGCAGUCAGAUGCCCGGUGGGAAGGUGACCGUCCGCCUCUGGUGGACGGAGUUACAGCCCAUCGGUGCGGACUUGCUGCGGGACCGAGGACGCUUGCCGUGCCUACGGGCCCCCUGUCCAGCUCGCUCGCUCGACUGUGGUGUACUGCUUGCAGUGCACCGCGACCGCUGGCGGGCGUCAGUCAGGGUAAGUUCGGGGUACCUAGGGUCAGUGGCGAAUCGGUCGGUACUCCACCCGACCCGUCUUGAAACACGGACCAAGGAGUCUAACAUGUGCGCGAGUCAUGGGGUCGUACGAAACCCAAAGGCGCAAUGAAAGUGAAGGCAGCCUCCGGUUUGCCUAGGCAGGAUCCCGUCCCUCGGGGCGGGCGCACUGCCGGCCCGUCUCGGCAGCGUCGUCUGCGAGGCGGAGCAAGAGCGUACACGUUGGGACCCGAAAGAUGGUGAACUAUGCUUGAGUAGGACAAAGUCAGGGGAAACUCUGAUGGAGGUCCGCAGCGAUUCUGACGUGCAAAUCGAUCGUCAGACUUGAGUAUAGGGGCGAAAGACUAAUCGAACCAUCUAGUAGCUGGUUCCCUCCGAAGUUUCCCUCAGGAUAGCUGGCACUAAAUCGGAGUUUUAUCCGGUAAAGCGAAUGAUUAGAGGCCUUGGGGACUAAAUGACCUCAACCUAUUCUCAAACUUUAAAUGGGUAAGAAGCUCGACUCGCUCAAUUGGAGCCGGGCUCAGAGAAUCCAGUGCCAAGUGGCCACUUUGGUAGCAGAACUGCGCUGUGGAUGACCAACGCCGUAGCGCUCGAUACUGACGCUCAUCAGACUCAUAAAGUGUGNUGGAUUAGACGCAGACGUGCNUGNAGUCGGAUCGCUAGAUGUGUACCACUCACUGCCGAUCACUAGCUGNNAGAGAUGAGAGUANGCGCNAA